UCUCUGAUAGUAUAUUGGCUAGUACACGAGCCUACCAUCAUUAUGCUGGUGUAGCGCUGGGUUCGACUCCCAGCACAGAGUA